GUGCUCACUUGGCAGUACGUACAUUAAAAUUGGAACAAUACAGAGACAAGUAUGGCCCUUACACAAAGACGACAUGAAAAUUCUUGAAGCAACUCAUAUUUUG
ensembl:snRNA U6 U6 spliceosomal RNA